UGCUGUGCUGAGGACCUGCAGCGGGCUCCCCUUGUCCUCCUGCAAGCCAGAGGCAGAAGCAGCCCUCCGUGCAUCACCACCACCACUACGCGCCCCCAGGUCCCCUGCAGGCCAUCCCAGCACCUGGCUCCCUGGCUGGUUACUGCACGUGGCCCACGGUGGUCUCGGCCACCGCCCUCCCACCUGCCUCCAGCUUCCUGCCAGCCCUGCACCACUUGGCUGGCCCGUCAUCAGCAGCCCUUAGCCCCUUUCCCAGGGUGGCAUCUGAUGGCGUCCAGCCCACGCAGGCUCCGGGCUUGUGAGCCUCCACAUGUGGACUCUGGCUCGCCGGAACGCUGGCCUGGGCAGCAGGUGGAAGCAGGUGGCUAAGGAAGCGCCACCCAGCUCAGCGCCCUCGGGCUGGACCCCUGCUCAGAGAGCCUCCAAGGCAGGAGAGCGGCAGGGGCGCACACGGCGGGCCUGGCACGUGCUCUUCUGAAAUGCAAUUAAAGUUCUGACUCGAUUUCUUAUUUUCACAUUGACAUUUUCUAACAUGGUUUUCCUGUUUGGUUUUAUUUCUCAACAUAAUUGUUAGUUCAAUACAGGGAAUAAAUUUGGCGGAAGUUGGUUAUCUUGGGAUGGCCUAAUAAAUUGGAAAAACUGU